GCUUGUGUUGUUCUAUGUAAUUUGGGAUGGGAAUCUUGGGGUUUGCAGGAAGUCACUAUAAGAUUUGUGGAUUGCAGAGAAUAAAUUUAAAUGAAGGAAAUCCUUUGUUAAAGCUUGAUAUGAUAUUGCAGGCCAUAAACUCAUUAAACACAAAAAUAAAUUAAAAAGUGAGGUGAGGAAGACUUAAGCAUCAGCUGGCUAAUGGGGGGUGAACGAGUGAAACUCAUACAAGGAGAGAGAAAGAAAGGAGGGGAGGAUGGGGGGUUGGUUGGCUGUAUUCUUAAUUCUAAUUUAUUCUCUAUAAUCCACGGUACGAAUUUUCAGACGAUAGAGCUCAACUGCAAACAAGGGCAUCAUGUCAAGCUCAAGUGCUAAAGUUACGGAUUCAUAACUCAAACAAGGGCAUCAUAUCAAGCUUGGUUGUUACUCAAUAUUUUUGGCUACUUGAAGAGAAUCCGGAUAUUGUUUCAGACUUUCAGCAAUAAGAAGCAAGUUGUAUAUUAUGACUAUUAAGAACAAGAAAGCUUCAGUGCAUGAAUAGCUACAAUCUGAGAAGGCCAAGACAGUUGAUCAAAGUAAGAAGAGAUAUGGAUUUUCAUCAUCUAAUACCAGUAAUGGUAAUCAAACUAAAUGAUGAGGCGGAAGAAUGGGCAUGGAUUCCGAUAAAACAACUCCAUUCUCCGGCAAUCUACGGAAAUACCAAGCUAGCUUAAUCACUCGAAAAUCAUUUUUGUUCAUGUAAUUGAACUUCAGUUUAAGUUACCUCUGAUUUCUACAUCUUUGAGGUUACUCCUGUUAUAUGGAUGAUCAGUCUUGGACUACUACCAAACCUUUUGAUUAUCUAUAUCUCUGGCGCUGAUGGUCCUUAAAGCUUGUGGUCUUUGAGUAUUGGGUUUCUCCUUAAAGCUUGUGGUCUUCAUGCUUUUUAGUUCUCAUCUCACUCCUAAAGUCCUAAUGCUGCUGUCAGUGAAUCUUGAGUAUUCUACUUGAAGAUGAAGGGAGGUUAUCAUCGUUAUAUUGCCGAGUUUAAAUCUGGUGACGAAAGGAAACUGCUGCUGAAGAUACUAUGAAUGCUUACAAAGCUACUCAGGUUUGUGUGUUUUAUUUUAGUUUUCUUCAAUUUUUUUUAUUUUGUGCCAUUGACUUUAUCGUCAACUCUCUUUGUUUGAUAUUUUGCUGCCAAUAUUAUUGACUGUAAUUUUGUAAGUGCUUACGUUUCCUUUUUUUUUUUUUGUGAUUUUUUUCAAUAGACUUCUUACUUUCGUUGCCUCAUUUAUUGUUGGUUAUUUAAAGCUUUGUAUUUGAAAAAGACUUUUAAUGUGAUAAUGCCUCAUUUAUGGAUUGGGCGGUUUGGUUGUUGCACGAACAUUUAUGAAAUGACAAGUGAAACUAUAAUUGAUUUAAUGAUCUUCUAUUAUGAAGUAUUUGAGAGAAGAAUUGCAAUUUUCUAUUGGAUUAAUGGAUUACUUGUUUAUUUUUAUGCUUAGUUUGCAACAUGCUUUGAAGGACUACCUAUGGUGGUAUAGAAACAAGGGGUUUGUGGAGAUAUGUUGUGUGGUUUAUAUUUAAUUUGAUGAUGCAUUUAUGCUAAAGCCUACAUUCACAUGCUUCAUUAUUGGUUAUGAGUACACGAAGUAUAUUAGGGAUAAAUUUAUCGUUGGCAAUCGUGUAUAUCGCUCGGAGACUAACUUAAUUGGACACAAGCUUAAUUUAUUUUUAAAGCUUGUGGUCUUCGUAUCAUUUUAUUUUUGACAUUUUUUGCAAUGUGGGUUUGUGGGGUUAAUUUGGUUUAUUUUUGUUUCCCAUAUUUAAAUUUGUUUAUUUUUGUUUUUUUGAUCUACAUUGGCAACAUUGCACCAUUUUACGUAGACUACACUACACUUUUAAAAUAUUACUUUAAUUUCCAUCAUAUUUUACAAUCUAACAAACAAAAUUUAAAAACUUUUUUUUUUAAUGUUUCUUGUCAUAUUGUCAAUAAUACUGAAAGUUUGAAACGUGUCACCUUAUUAUUGGUCAAUAAGACUAACUUUUAAGAAUUGCCACCUAAUUUGGACCCAAUGAGCAAAAAUAUUCACGCACGAGCAUAUUCAAAAUAUCUCUAAAAUGAUAAAUCUAAACAUAAAAUAUAUCAGCACGUCUUGUGUUCGGCUGACCGCACCAUGUGAAUUUUUGUAAACAAAACAAAAUAAUCCCUAUAACACUGAUCAAGUAACCCGUGUAAUAUUGACUGAGUAAUCCUUAUAACACUGACAAAGUAGCCCCUGCAACACUG